rnacentral:rRNA from 1 species
AUACGGAGGAUGCAAGCGUUAUCCGGAUUUAUUGGGUUUAAAGGGUGCGUAGGCGGUUUGCUAAGCGGGAGGUGAAAUGCCGGCGCUCAACGUCGGAAGUGCCUCCCGAACUGGUGGACUGGAAUGACUCUGCCGUGGGAGGAAUGGGUAGUGUAGCGGUGAAAUGCUUAGAGAUUACACAGAACACCGAUUGCGAAGGCAUCUCACGAAGGGUUGAUUGACGCUGAGGCACGAAAGCGUGGGGAUCAAACAGGAUUAGAUACCCUGGUAGUCCACGCAGUAAACGAUGAUGGCUAACCGCUGGUUUAUUCGGAUCAGUGGCCAAGCGAAAGCGAUAAGCCAUCCACCUGGGGAGUACGACCGCAAGGUUGAAACUCAAAUGAAUUGACGGGG